ACUCUACUAAGUUAAUGAACCAAACAUUGAAGGCUUAGUUUGUCAUAUCGUGAUAGACGGCUAAGGUCAAGUAAGAUUACACCAGGGUUUGCGUGCGUGACAGGAUCCAUAUAGAAAAUAAGGGUAUUCACCAAAAUUCUUAAAGCUGUAUCCACAACCAAAGCGGUCCGCUUUCU